GGGCUGGAGGUGGCACUGGGUCCGUCGAGUGUCCUGCUGGGUACUUCUGACAGCUGCCGGCCUGGAGCAUCUCCCGGAGGCUGCUGGGCUCUGCCGUGCCCUGAGCCAGCCACGAGCAGGAGCAGAGUAGGCAUCCCCCAGCCUGGUCUGUGCCCGGGGAGGCGCCUGGCUCAGGGCU